CCAUUAAGUUGAGGACUCUAGCGAGACUGCCUGGGUUAACCAGGAGGAAGGUGGGGAUGACGUCAAAUCAUCAUGCCCCUUAUGUGUAGGGCUACACACGUGCUACAAUGGCUGGUACAGAGAGAUGCAAUACCGCGAGGUGGAGCCAAACUUAAAAACCAGUCUCAGUUCGGAUUGUAGGCUGAAACUCGCCUACAUGAAGCUGGAGUUACUAGUAAUCGCGAAUCAGAAUGUCGCGGUGAAUACGUUCCCGGGUCUUGUACACACCGCCCGUCACACCAUGAGAGUUGGCAAUACCCGAAGUCCGUGAGCUAACCGCAAGGAGGCAGCGGCCGAAGGUAGGGUCAGCGAUUGGGGUGAAGUCGUAACAAGGUAGCCGUAGGAGAACCUGCGGCUGGAUCACCUCCUUU
rnacentral:rRNA from 1 species